rnacentral:lncRNA from 1 species
CGGCCCGAGGAGGAGGCGCGUUCUAUACACUGGUCCCCAUACGACCGCGUCGGCGUGGUGAACGCCGAUCCUUAAGGACUUUUCCCGUCGUCUCUCUCCGCCCACACCUCGCUUUCAAUCCCCGCCCUCGACGCCUUUCAACUCCAUCUCACGCCUUUCAACUCCACCCCGACGUCGCUUUGUAUGGAACGUCCCGGAGUUCACGACGCAUAAGAUCACGCUCGGGGUGAGGGACGAGAAGGUCGAGCUCGUGACGGCGUCGAUCGCGGCGGCGACGCGGAAGGAGGGGCUGGACGUGAAGACAAUCGCGAGCGGCGUGGGCG